CCCUGCUAUAUGAGGUAUUACGUGUGGCACGCUACAGAGUAUGUACAUUUGAUUAUACAAGCAGAUAUUUCCCAGCAGCCUUGGCAGCAGCUCUGGAGGUCAGGGGCAGGUCACAUGACCAGGGACAGUUGGAGGGAUGACAGUUGGUCAGGACACAGUCUGAGGUAGCUGUGAGAGUGGAGGGCAUCUCUGGCAGUGGAAAAUUCCAGUCAGAAAAUGGAGGUGCCACUGAGAGCAGCUGUGUGUGAGAGCCACUCAGUAAAAGUCUAAAAAGAGCUACACAGACAGCAGGACUAGUUGUUACAGUUCAUUAAAGUUUUCAUCCAAAUCCAUCCAGUGGAAGGCCCAGAACAGGCUCCCUGUGUCAAAGUUCUGUCUGGUGUACACCAGCGCGACGUUCGACCAGGACCUCAACACCCUUUAGUAUGUCUUCUUAGACGAAAUGUUAUCACUCUGUGAUGUUUUCAUCCAAAUCCAUCCAGUGUAAGGCCCACAACAGGCUCACCAGGUUAAAGUUCUCCCUAGUGAACACUAACAGGAGACCCAACCAGGACCCCAACCCCCUAGUAUGUCUUCCGUAUCUGUUUACCACUCUGUGAAGUUUUCGUCCAAAUCCAUCCGACGGAAGGCCCAGAACAGACUUCCUGGGUCACAGUUCUGCCCAGUGUACACUAACGGGAAGUCCAACCGGGGCCUCAAACCCCUAGUAUGUAUUCUGGGAUUCAUUGUUACCACUCUAUGAAGUUUUUGUCCAAAUCCAUCCAGUGAAAGGCUCAAAAAAGGCUCCUUUGUUCAAAGUUCUGCCCAGUGUACACCAAGGGUAGGUCUGACCGAGACCCUAACCCCACUAAUACCGGGCCAAAAUCCAAUUGGACCACCUCACAUUGGUUUGAACCCAAUCGGUGCUGGGGUAUCCGACUGCAUAACUGGACAGACAAACACAUACCAAUGAAUUUUAUUUAUAAGAUGUAGUUGGUGUUUGAUAUGCUUGACUUGUUCUAUAAAUGCUUUCAGGAGAGAAA